rnacentral:rRNA from 1 species
CAGCAGCCGCGGGAAUACGAAGGGUGCAAGCGUUACUCGGAAUUACUGGGCGUAAAGCGUGCGUAGGUGGUGGUUUAAGUCCGUUGUGAAAGCCCUGGGCUCAACCUGGGAAUUGCAGUGGAUACUGGGUCACUAGAGUGUGGUAGAGGAUAGUGGAAUUUCCGGUGUAGCAGUGAAAUGCGUAGAGAUCGGAAGGAACAUCUGUGGCGAAGGCGACCAUCUGGGCCAACACUGACACUGAGGCACGAAAGCGUGGGGAGCAAACAGGAUUAGAUACCCCUGUAGUCCCUGUCUCUUAUAC